GCUUCUGCAAAGAAGGGUGGCGAGAAGAAAGGUCGUUCCGCCAUUAGUGAGGCGGUUACCCCAGAAUACACCAGCGCAUGGGUGGAGUGGGCUUCAAGAAGUGCCCCUCGGGCACACAGAGAGAUCCAGAAAUUCGCCAUGAAGGAGAUGGGGACUCCAAAUUUGCACAUUGAUGUGAGGCUCAACAAAGCUCUCUGGGCCAAAGGAAUAAGGAAUGUCCCAUACCAUAUCCAUAUGAAGUUGCCCAGAAAACUUAAUGAGGAUGAAGAUUCACCAGACAAGCUCUAUGCUUUGGUUCCUACAUAU
rnacentral:lncRNA from 1 species